UGGGGAAUUUUGCACAAUGGGGGAAACCCUGAUGCAGCGACGCCGCGUGAUUUAGAAGGCCUUCGGGUUGUAAAAAUCUUUUCUAUGGGAAGAAAAUGACAGUACCAUAGGAAUAAGGACCGGCUAAUUACGUGCCAGCAGCCGCGGUAAUACGUAAGGUCCGAGCGUUGUCCGGAAUCAUUGGGCGGUAAGGGUACGUAGGCGGGUAAGCAAGUUAGAAGUGAAAUCCUAUAGCUCAACUAUAGUAAGCUUUUAAAACUGCUCAUCUUGAGGUAUGGAAGGGAAAGUGGAAUUCCUAGUGUAGCGGUGAAAUGCGCAGAUAUUAGGAGGAAUACCGGUGGCGAAGGCGACUUUCUGGCCAUAACCUGACGCUGAGGUACGAAAGCGUGGGUAGCAAACAGG
rnacentral:rRNA from 1 species